UACGGAGGGAGCUAGCGUUGUUCGGAAUUACUGGGCGUAAAGCGCACGUAGGCGGAUUUUUAAGUCAGGGGUGAAAUCCUGGAGCUCAACUCCAGAACUGCCUUUGAUACUGGGAAUCUCGAGUCCGGGAGAGGUGAGUGGAACUGCGAGUGUAGAGGUGAAAUUCGUAGAUAUUCGCAAGAACACCAGUGGCGAAGGCGGCUCACUGGCCCGGUACUGACGCUGAGGUGCGAAAGCGUGGGGAGCAAACAGG
rnacentral:rRNA from 1 species